AACCGCCGGCUCCUCUCAAAUGAAUCAGCUUGCCAGUGUUUGGUGGCGUCACAGGUGUGAUAACUAUCUACGCUUGUGGUCUUCCAUCAGGUUACCUUCAGUAAUGGAGGUUCGCUGGAGCUCACAGACGUCUCUCCUCUGGGAGGACAGCUUUUUAAAAGUUUGAUCUCAAAUCAGGUAGGACUACCCGCUGAACUUAA
rnacentral:misc_RNA from 1 species